GGGGCUGUAGCUCAGUGGUAGAGCACUUGCCUUGCACCUGUGAGGUACUGGGUUCGAUCCUCAGCACCA
rnacentral:tRNA from 1 species